rnacentral:rRNA from 1 species
UACGGAGGAUGCAAGCGUUAUCCGGAUUUAUUGGGUUUAAAGGGUGCGCAGGUUGUUUGAUAAGUCAGUGGUGAAAGUCUGUCGCUUAACGGUAGGAUUGCCAUUGGUACUGUUGGACUUGAAUAUGGAUGAGGUAGGCGGAAUGUGUAGUGUAGCGGUGAAAUGCAUAGAUAUUACACAGAACACCAAUUGCGAAGGCAGCUUACUAAUCCAUCAUUGACGCUGAGGCACGAAAGCGUGGGGAUCAAACAGGA